GUGCCUGUUUUCUAUGUUGUAUAUGAUGCUGACUCGAUAAACUGUGGUAAAUAUUUUCAGAGCAGGCUCAUCACAUCAAGCAGAUUCCUGAGCAGAAGAGAAGUUCAUUGCUACUUCAUCUGUGAAUCCUGAAAUAUGGAGUGUGAGACUUGCUCUGAGUUCCCCAGCACAGCUACUGCUGAAGCGUGGCAGAGUCAGGGGAGUGUCGGGGUGCCUGGGCUCCCUGCAUGAGUGUCUGCAGCAGCUCCGAGUCAUCGCUGCAACCACUCUGCUCCGCCUGUGACCCUGAUGUAGAGCGAGGUCCUGGUCGUGAUCUCAGGUUCAUCCUAGUCUGCUCUGCAUAUGUUUAACGAGUCUAGCUCCGUGGAGCUCCUCUCUGGUGCAUUUGCAGUAGCUCUGACGUGGCUAGCAGAGAUCUACUGCAUCCUGGCUGCCAGCCACCUCCUGGACUGGGAGCUCGUGAUUUAUGGAUGCAGUGACUUGAAACACUCCUGGGCACUACCCUAGGUGCCUCUAGGUAGCCUGAUAACGUUUAAUGGGAAAAGCUGAGCAUCAGCAGCUCUACAGACAUUGACAACAGAAAGACCUAAAAAAUGCAAGGAAAUGCAAAAUAAGUUGAAGCGAGGAAACAAAAAGGGGUGAGUAUGAAAGAGAUACAGCAAAUAUAAACCAAAUGGAGAAAAGAAUAAAAAGCUAAGCAAAAGAAGUGGAUGAAAAGGUAUUUAAAGAGAAAAAGAAAUUUAAAAUACAAGAAAUUUUAAAAUGGGGCUCACUGGGAUCAUUGUGAUGGGAACAGAGAUGCUAAAUAGUGAGUGCCUGUGACAGAUAACUGAUACUCACUUAUUUCCUCCCUGUGCUGUCAGGAGGCAGUUGCUCAUAAGUUGUUUUCAUGUGCUAUAAAAGGGUGUGAUCCUGACAUGAUGGGAUUUGCAUAAGAGAGAAAAACCAAUUUGAUGAAGUUUUGUCUGUGUGCAGAGGAGAAAAAUCUUCGAGAAAUGUUACAGAAUUUGGAAUGUCCGUCAUCUCUGGAUUCAGAAGGCUCAUUCCUGCAAGAGUUGCUGCAUCCCUGAAAUUUAUCAUGAAAAGCUGACAUGUAACAAAGGCACAGAGACACAGAAACUGGUCUUAUACCAGCUUCUAGCUGUCUAAGGCACAUGGGUCACUAGCAUGUUAAAAAAUUUGUUAUAAAGCUGGGAAGGGUGUUUCAAUGCUGGCUCACAGACUGUGCACAGCACUGCACUGGUGAGGUAGUUAUACUACAGAUGAUGUAUGGGCCCAGUCUAACACCUCCACCCUAGUGCUGUGUGCUGUGUAAUGUCCCUGCUUUUCCAGCUAUCAGGAAAAAACUGGUGCUGCAAUGUGUUGCAUGGCCAGAGACAGAAUUACCUCUGUGAUCUAGCACUUCUCAGAGGAUGUAAAUCUUCUGCAAGGGCAUUAGGAGCUUGCACAUGUACCUGGACAUUGCUCCAGUACCCAGUUUCUUUAGGUUCUCAGAAGCAUAAGUUCAGAUCUCUAGCAUAACUUAGCUUUUUGUCUUAACGUAGAAUUUCACUACUUUUAGGUCCUUGCAAGAAAGAAUGUCUCAGUUAGCCAUAAAAAGAGAAUGGAACAUAUGGAACCAGUUUUUUUAAAGUGAUUUUGAUGGACACUUCACAACAGUCUAUAUUACUAUUUACUCCCCAACAGGAGGAAGGCAAAGAUGUGUGGGAGGAUGGCAGUCAAGACUGUGGGUUUAUCAGCUUGGCAGACUGCAGUAUGGUGCAAUGCUACUGCUGAUCACCUCAGACAGGCUCAUUCACAUACCCAGGUUUUAGCCAUGGCAGUUUGGAACAGAGCAUCAACCCCUUUCCUCACAGGAAGUGCAGUGGGGCAUUGUUGACUCAGCUGGUGCAGGUGGAGCACUGUGGCUGGACUGUGCUUGCCUCCAAAAUGGUGUGGGAAUCUUACAUUGCACUGCCAAAUAAACAUGCAUUAUAAAAAACAGAAUAUCAGUAGUGAGAUUCACUCAGAGUAGCAGCAGCACUCAGGCAAAAGAGAUGGAUUUCACUUGAGCCAAGAUUUUACCUGUGUGGUCUGUUUGAUUCCCAGGUAAUAAACCUCAACAAAAACAAGUGGCAUGACUGGCAUACUGUUCAGUAGCCUAGCAAGGACUAAUGACUAAAUGCAUCUCGAACAUAGGAUUGCCCACAGUCCACUUUGCACAUUAGGUUGACCCUUCUGAAAUAAGGUUGAUGGAGCUUGGAGGAUGCAGACAGUGAUGCUGACAGACAUGGGAUUUACUCCAGGAAGAACUAAGAGGGCUUUAGUCUGCUCUGGGAUGUCAGUCUUUGACUUUAUGUAGCCAUAAAUGAAGAGAAGGUCAACAGAAAGGAAAGAAGGACUAAUUCAUGAUAUUCAGCAGAGACCUUGAACAAAUACUGUGAUACUGAAGCUGCUCUGCUGCAUUCACCCUUAUUGCGAAUUCUGUAUUCAAAAGACAAAUAUAUACAAGACUUGUGGGUCUGAGUGCAUUAAAAACCAUUUAUUUAAUUCCCUUGCUAAAUGUUUCAAAAUAAGAUUGAAGACUUUUUUAAAGAUGGCUUUUUACUGAGCUUAUAUAUAAUUCCUUUCAGGGUGUGAAGUGCCUUGAUAAGCUUCUGUGACAAGGGACUUUAUAAAUUAGAUUGUAUUAUAUACAAACACAAUAAAAUUAGUAAUGGA